GACGAACGCUGGCGGCGUGCCUAAUACAUGCAAGUUGAGCGAUGAAGAUUGGUGCUUGCACCAAUUUGAAGAGCAGCGAACGGGUGAGUAACGCGUGGGGAAUCUGCCUUUGAGCGGGGGACAACAUUUGGAAACGAAUGCUAAUACCGCAUAACAACUUUAAACAUAAGUUUUAAGUUUGAAAGAUGCAAUUGCAUCACUCAAAGAUGAUCCCGCGUUGUAUUAGCUAGUUGGUGAGGUAAAGGCUCACCAAGGCGAUGAUACAUAGCCGACCUGAGAGGGUGGACGGCCACAUUGGGAAUGAGAAACGGCCCAAAAUCCUACGGGGGGCAGCAGUAGGGAAACUUCGGCAAUGGACGAAAGUCUGAACGAGCAAAGCCGGGUGAGUGGAGAAGGUUUUCGGAUCGUAAAAAUCCGUUGGUAGAGAAGAAAGUUGGUGGGAGUGGAAAGCGCAUGAAGUGACGGUAACUACCCAGAAAGGGACGGCUAACUACGUG
rnacentral:rRNA from 1 species